rnacentral:misc_RNA from 1 species
UGCCGCCAAGAUGCCCCGGAUUAUGAU